CAAAUUAGAGCUUGAUUAGUAAAGUGUUUCAUUUACAUUGAAAAGUUGUCGUGCAAAUCGAUUUAAUUUGA
rnacentral:tRNA from 2 species